UUUUUUUUUUUUUUUUUUUUUUGAGACGGAGUCUCGCUCUGUGGCCCAGGCUGGAGUGCAGUGGCGCCAUCUGGGCUCACUGCAAGCUCCGCCUCCCGGGUUCACGCCAUUCUCCUGCCUCAGCCUCCCGAGUAGCUGGGACUACAGGCGCCCGCUACCACGCCGGGCUAAUUUUUUUGUAUUUUUAGUAGAGACGGGGUUUCACUGUGUUAGCCAGGAUGGUCUCGAUCUCCUGACCUCGUGAUCCACCCGCCUGUGCCUCCCAAAGUGCUGGGAUUACAGGCAUGAGCCACUGCGCCCGGCCACAUUCGAUCUUUAAUCCAGUGUUUUAGUGGGUGUAGGUGUGACUUAGAAGCAGGCACAGUUCAUUAAAAAACAAAAAACACCAAAACCUUUUACAGGUUAUUCUCACAGAUAAAAAUUCUAUAGGCUACCAACAGAGGAAGUCUUUAUUGUUCCUGGGCGCUAGACCAUACACAGAAGGACCAUACUUGCUCUUUGCAGUCUCAUUCAGAAGCAGGAAAAGGGGGCUAUAUUGGAUUUGAAUAUGAAGGACAAAAGCAGCUCUGGAAACACCAAGUAAUAGUCUAUGUUACAGGUUUAACACACCCAUUUAAUCUCAUUGGAAAAAAUAAUGAAACUGGUGAAAAGCAUUUAUGGAACUGGAGGAGAGCAUAUUUUGCUGGUUUUACUUUUAUGUUUGAAGUUUUGGGUAUAGCUAUGCCCAUAAAUACUGAAAUGCCUAGCAUAAAGAACGCAGCCUGGGGCAUACCCCAUAAAACUUACAGUGCAAUUAAAUGAGCAAUUUCCACUGGAAAUAAAACAGGCAUGUUGAGUGGAAUAUGAAUUAAACUGCAUAUGACUCAGGCCUGCACUAGGCUUUAGAGAGAGAUCUGCUGGUUUCAGUAGCACCUGAUGCCGUCCAUCUAAAGGUCAAGGCCAGUAAGUAACAAAAGAAAACUGUAGUUAGCAUGAAGAUUAGGGCAUACCAAAUUGUGGUUAAUGUAGUUUCCCUGUCAUGAUGUCUCCUGAAAGGGACCAGCAAAAUUACGACUGAUAACAAAGGAUUAAACCUGACCUUUCUUUACAAUGCAGACACAUUGAGCUUCUGCGUCGUUUGCUAUGCAGCAUUUUUGACGCUUCCUCAAACUUCAUUUUCACUUUCUGAAUGUUCUCUCCCAGACCAAAGUCACCCAGGUGCCAUAAUAAAAGAGUUUCUAAGGGAGAUUUCAACUAGAAAACCAAAAGGCCAUCAAAACAAACAUUGAUUUGCAUUCCAGAUCACUUUCUGCUCUUGUUCAUUUCUGGGAUCUUAUUUGGAGAUUAAAGGGUAAUGAUUCACUGAUAUCCUGUGGGAAAACCAGUUCAGGAGCAGCCUUUGACAAACCACAUGUAGAAAUCUGGCUGAUAGAGGGAGAAAACAAGUUUCAAUCUUAUUUUUAGUGUAGGGUAAAGCAAGUCCACCCAAGAUAAAGCUUAGCAUUCUUUCUUUGAGGAAUUAGGGUAAGGGUGAAGAAAAGAAAGCUUGAUAUUUUUCUGCCUAUGAAAGCCAGAAGAAGGCUCAGAGAAGCCCGUUCCUUCUUUUCCUCUUUUUCCAAGUGCCAGACCUCCGCAGCUCCCAGAGGAAAUGAGGGCAUGGGGUGGGUAAUAGGGCAUGUGAUUUGAAUGAGUAUUCCCAGCCAUUUAAUAUAUUCACAAGUCAAACUAUAAAGUAUUUCUUUUAAAAAAUUAUAGUAUUUCACUGAAGUUUGAAUGUACUUUCUCUUGCCAAAAUAAUCAGAGUCUUUCAUUUUUCUAAUGAUAAAAAUGUGCUACAUGUGUAGGAAAAUUUCCCAAAUGAAAAAUAACAUUUUCUAUGGCAGCACAUACAGUGCUUGAAUUUUUCACCUUAGAUUUUAUUCUAGCCAGACCUAAACUCUGUCUUACUUGCAUAAUGAUAAUUCAUGUCGUCAAAUCAAACGCACUGUUUGCUGCUCGUUUGUCCAGGAGCCAUCUUUUCCUAAAGUGAGCAAUAUUACGUGCAUUUUGUCUGGCUGGCCGAGGGCUCCUCCCUACAGCUUCUGCAGCCAUGGAGGAGUCUGGAAGGACAGUGUUCGCUUGUACAAGAAGAGGGAAGGAUAGGAUGAGAAAAGCAAAAUCUUGGAGAGUCUGUGGUCGGAAGAAGAAAGCUGAAGCUAGUUAGGAGGAAGGAGUGUGUGAGUGAAUUAGGAGCUGAAGCAGUAAAGUAGCUUUCCCUGUGACCCUGAUGUGUCGGGCAUUUCUGUCUUAGACUAAAAGCAUAAUAAAAAAGGCACUUUAUUUAGGUUAACAGAGCAUUAUAUAACUGGAAAGUUUUACAGUUUUAUAUAUAUAGUGAAUAGUUUGUAGAGGAUAAAAAGACUUCCCUUUGGUUUAUUAUUUGGGUAAAAUAAAAACCCACGAAUUAUUUAAGGAUGCAUUUCUUUUUCUUUUUUCUGCCUUUUUUUUUUUUUAAGACAAAAGCUUGAAGGCAUAAAAUGGAGUUAUUUUCAUCGGGAUGUCACCCUCGAUGCUGCUGCUUUACUACAUGUUCAUAGUCAAAAUUAUUUCAUGUUUCCCUUGAAUAACUACGAUCAGUUUGAAAACAGCUUUGUUAAUUAGUAAGAGAUGACGCAAUAUAUCACUGCAUCUUUAGGGCUCUGGCGCCAGCUAGUGGUAGGAGAGGGGAGCCGCCCUGUCGCUCUCAAAUCUGGGAAGGCGUCGGUCUUCUCGCCUCCCCUUAUCCCUCAUCCUCCUCAUUUUUUUUCCAUCAGCAUAAUGGGGGAAUCAUUGCAGUGUGGCCAGAGAGGAGCAGACGAGAUUAUAGAUGAAAGUAGAGAAAAACGGUGGGCAGGGGCAGGGAGAGGAAAGGCCAGACAAAUGCAAUCAUUUCUCCAAAGGAUUUGAGAAGAGAUCAUUUAUUUGAAAUAUUCCUGCCAUGUUGAUGGAGCAGCUCAAUCUUUUGCCAGUGAAUUUUUAGCGUUUUGUUUUUUCAUUUGUAGAUAUGCUUGAACAUAUACUUAGGACACGUAAUAACUAUGGAACUUCAUCACAAACACAGCACUGAGGACAUGUUCUGAAUACAGACAAUAUGGAGGCCUCAGGCUCGGAGGAUGGCAGAGUCUUCAGAUGGAUGGAGGGAGCUGCAGUCACUGAACCACUGCAGGGAGAGAAGUACUCACAGACCUGGAACGCUCAACUUGGACUGUUAUGUGACAGAGUAACAAUAAACUUCUAUUUUGGUUUGAGUAA